CCGCGUCCUUUGAUCGUGGAGGAAGGUACAGGCCUGUGAUUGGCGAUUACUACCUUGUAGAUCUCUGCUGGAAGACAACAGAGUUUCUCCACUGGCGAUAUACGAGUCCCUGGGGUGCUGGCCCUGAUCUUGGCCUCCCUUUGGGGCUCCUCAGGAAGUGAAGAGGGGGCCCAGGGCCUCGGCGGAACAAACCUGCCCGACUGUAAAUUUCUGGCAAAAGAAUGGUCGCGUGUGAGAAGACUUCCUGUGGCUUCCAUACGGUCUGGAAAAAAAUAGACAAAGAAUGACAGAUGGUGGGAGAAGAAACGGAUCCAGGCAUGAAAAAUCAUCUCUCUUAAGACAAACCCAGUCUGGACACAAGACACAGG
ensembl:lncRNA